GCAUGCAUGACCUUGAGAGCAGCAACCUUAGAGACAGGUGAUGAAUUUAUGAAAGUUGUGGAAACUUCAUUAAAAGAUGGAUCUGACCAAAGUUGUGAUGGAAUGAUGAACAUCGUCGACCGCAUCUUACAGGCUUCUUCCCAGUGUGUCCUAUGGCUUUUGAAAAAUAUCUUUACACGGACAGUCCAUUUGGAGACUCCAAAAAAAGGACCUUUGGUUACCAAGACGGCAUAUUGAAGCAGGGUUCCUGCGGUCAUGGAAAACCUGGAAAAGUCAUGGUAUUGUAUAAUCCCAUUUUCCAGGCCUGGAGAAAUCAUGGAAUACAGAAAAUUCAUUUAAAGGUUUGGAAAAGUCCAUGGAAUUUAAUUUUGUCUACCAUAUUCUUGAGAUAGUGGACCUCAUGCCACAUAAAUCUAUUGCGUCCUUCAUGGAUAAAGAAUGGUGUGAGAGAAAUGGAGUACAUUUUAUCCAAACUCAUUCAAAUCACAUUUUAUAAUUAACCCCAACCUGUGGCAUAAACGUAUGGUAAGCAGUGUUGUACUUGUAGGCAGUAAAGUCAUAGAAAUUUAAUUCAAGAUCAUUGACAAAUCAUUGAAAGGUUUUCACAUUUUGUCAUUGAAAAUGGGUGUGAACCCCGUUGGAAGAUGAAGGUGCACAGGAUGAAGUAAUGAAUCUAUUUCAAUUAGUCAUUUUGGCAUCACAUGUGAAAGGAGGGCCUUCAAGAAUGGUGCAUUGCUUUGUUUACUUCAUUUCAUUUAAUGACAAAUAUGCUUGUUUAUUGAACAAAGCUUGCCUUAAGGGGCCCUAAGUCAUAGCUGGAGUUGAAACGGUGACAUAUGUUAUGGAGAACAAUUUCAGACAUGUUGCUGAUUCCGAUCAAAAAUGCCAUUGUAAAAAAGAAGAAUGUCUAUAGAAUACAAUAGCUUAGCCAAGACUGCUCCAUUGGUAAUUAGUAUUCUUUUUGUCAAUGGGCAAAUAAGCAUUUCUAAAGAAGCCUGCUUUUCCGAUUCAGAUUUCUUUAUUGUUUCAUUUUAAUUUAUAUUCAUAUAUAUUAAAAAAGAGCAUAAUUAUUAGGUCUUGUACUCCUUUUGACCCACAGCAGCUUAAAACAAAUAGUGAUUUUAGGAGAUGUUUAAUAGCUGGAUUGCCUGCCUGGUGGAAGAAAAAAUCCUUGAACCUGCUGGUCCUGGCUCUGAGGCUGCGGUAUCGUCUACCAGAAGGCAACAGCUGGAGAAGACCAUUAUUGGGAUGGCUGGGGUGUUUGAUUUUAACUGCUUUUUUCACACACCGGUCUUAAAUGAUUUUUAUUCUUUUCUCCCCAGAUCUUCAGAGCUGUCUUUUUCACCACCCUUUGAAUUGCUCUGCGGUUCUGGGCAGUGCAGUUUCCAUACCUGGCAGAUAUGCAUCCCGUUAGUAUGCUUUCAAUGAUGCUUCUGUAGAAGGAACAGAGUAUGCUGGGACCCAUGCUAAAUUUCUUGAGUCUUCUUAGGUGGAAGAGGCGUUGUUGUGGCUUUUUUUUAAACUUCCUCUUAGGAAACUUCCUCUUAGUUUAUCGGCAUUGGCUGAUAUGGACAUUUCUGCCGAUGUGCCUGGCCGAUAAGGUGACCUGUUAAUUAUGCGCACAUGAAGCCAAUGUUUACGUUGCUAUGAGCGCCAACAACAUACUUCAAGCUGUGUGGCAGUAUUUCCAAAUUCCGGAAACUGAUAACAAAAUUGCUAUUUGCAGGGCUUGUAAAGUACCAGUGAUGCGAGGAGGGGUAAAAUGAUACUCUUUUAAUGUUACCAAUUUAAUUACACAUCUUAGCCAUCAUCCUGAACUCUACACAGCACUAAGCCAGAAAAAAACGGCACCAGCCAAAACCGUUUACAAUGCAAUCAGUUUCUAAAGUGUGUAACGUUAGCUAACGUUAGAAAGCUAGCGUGAGUUUCAUGAAGUCCAGAAUGAAGGCUAGCUGUAAAGUUACUAGCCUACGUGGUCUAAUUCACUUUACUCUACAGACUGACAUUUUAAGUUUACAGGGUUACAGCUGCAUUUCUGUUAAUCUGAGAACAAUGUGUCAAACUGUCUUGUAGGCUAUUGUUCAAGUAUGACAUUUACAUGUUUAUGUGAAAAUUUUAGGCUAUUUAACUCAUUG